rnacentral:misc_RNA from 1 species
GAUGAAGAACGCAGCGAAAUGCGAUAAGUAAUGUGAAUUGCAGAAUUCAGUGAAUCAUCGAAUCUUUGAACGCACAUUGCGCCCGCCAGUAUUCUGGCGGGCAUGCCUGUCUGAGCGUCAUUUCAACCCUCAUGCCCCUAGGGCGUGGUGUUGGGGAUCGGCCAAAGCCCGCAAGGGACGGCCGGCCCCUAAAUCUAGUGGCGGACCCGUCGUGGCCUCCUCUGCGAAGUAGUGAUAUUCCGCAUCGGAGAGCGAUGAGCCCCUGCCGUUAAACCCCCAACUUUCCAAGGUUGACCUCAGAUCAGGUAGGAAUACCCGCUGAACUUAAGCAUAUCAAUAAGCGGAGGA